GGCGUCAUAGCUCAGUUGGGAGAGCAGCAGACUGAAGACAGAAUCAUACAUUGGUUGUGUAAUCUGAAGGUCCCGUGUUCAAGCCACGGUGAUGCCA